rnacentral:tRNA from 1 species
GACCUGUUAGCUCAGCUGGUAGAGCAUUUGACUUUUAAUCAAAGGGCCCCGGGUUCGAAUCCCGGACGGGUCACCA